rnacentral:rRNA from 1 species
GAUGAACGCUGGCGGCGUGCCUAAUACAUGCAAGUCGAGCGAACGGACGAGAAGCUUGCUGGUCGGAUGUUAGCGGCGGACGGGAGAGUAACACGUGUAUAACCUACCUAUAAGACGGGGAUAACUUCGGGAAACCGGAGCUAAUACCGGAGAAUAUCUUGAACCGCAGGGUGCAAAGGUGAAAGACGGUCGUGCUGGCACGUAUAGAGGGAUCCGCGCUGCAUUAGCUAGUUGGUAAGGUAACGGGUUACGAAGGGAACGAGGCAUAGCCGACCUCAGAGGGUGGUCGGCCGCCCUGGAGCUUGACCGCCCUCCUGACGCCUACGGUACGCCGCAGUCUGCUAUCGUCCGCAAUGGGCGAAAGCCUUACGGAGCAAGCCCGCGUGAGUUAUGACGGUCUUCCGAUCGUGAUGCUCUCUUACUAGGGAUGAACCUAUGUGUCCUUAACUGUGCCCAUCUUGACGGUAACUAGUCAGAAAGCCCCGGCUAACUACGUG